rnacentral:rRNA from 1 species
UACGUAGGGUGCGAGCGUUAAUCGGAAUUACUGGGCGUAAAGCGUGCGCAGGCGGUUCGUUGUGUCGGCGGUGAAAGCCCCGGGCUUAACCUGGGAAUGGCCGUUGAAACUGGCGAACUGGAGUGUGGCAGAGGGGGUGGAAUUCCGCGUGUAGCAGUGAAAUGCGUAGAGAUGCGGAGGAACACCGAUGGCGAAGGCAGCCCCCUGGGCCAACACUGACGCUCAGGCACGAAAGCGUGGGGAGCAAACAGG